rnacentral:tRNA from 1 species
GGUGAAAUGGCCGAAUUGUAGGCGUUAAAUUGUAAAUUUAAACACGAGGAAAUUUCUUCUUUCACCA